UGCAAGUCGAACGGCAGCACGGAGCUUGCUCUGGUGGCGAGUGGCGAACGGGUGAGUAAUAUAUCGGAACGUACCCUAGAGUGGGGGAUAACGUAGCGAAAGUUACGCUAAUACCGCAUACGAUCUAAGGAUGAAAGUGGGGGAUCGCAAGACCUCAUGCUCGUGGAGCGGCCGAUAUCUGAUUAGCUAGUUGGUAGGGUAAAAGCCUACCAAGGCAUCGAUCAGUAGCUGGUCUGAGAGGACGACCAGCCACACUGGAACUGAGACACGGUCCAGACUCCUACGGGAGGCAGCAGUGGGGAAUUUUGGACAAUGGGCGAAAGCCUGAUCCAGCAAUGCCGCGUGAGUGAAGAAGGCCUUCGGGUUGUAAAGCUCUUUUGUCAGGGAAGAAACGGUGAGAGCUAAUAUCUUUUGCUAAUGACGGUACCUGAAGAAUAAGCACCGGCUAACUACGUGCCAGCAGCCGCGGUAAUACGUAGGGUGCAAGCGUUAAUCGGAAUUACUGGGCGUAAAGCGUGCGCAGGCGGUUUUGUAAGUCUGAUGUGAAAUCCCCGGGCUCAACCUGGGAAUUGCAUUGGAGACUGCAAGGCUAGAAUCUGGCAGAGGGGGGUAGAAUUCCACGUGUAGCAGUGAAAUGCGUAGAUAUGUGGAGGAACACCGAUGGCGAAGGCAGCCCCCUGGGUCAAGAUUGACGCUCAUGCACGAAAGCGUGGGGAGCAAACAGGAUUAGAUACCCUGGUAGUCCACGCCCUAAACGAUGUCUACUAGUUGUCGGGUCUUAAUUGACUUGGUAACGCAGCUAACGCGUGAAGUAGACCGCCUGGGGAGUACGGUCGCAAGAUUAAAACUCAAAGGAAUUGACGGGGACCCGCACAAGCGGUGGAUGAUGUGGAUUAUUUCGAUGCAACGCGAAAAACCUUACCUACCCUUGACAUGGCUGGAAUCCCGGAGAGAUUUGGGGAGUGCUCGAAAGAGAACCAGUACACAGGUGCUGCAUGG
rnacentral:rRNA from 1 species